rnacentral:rRNA from 1 species
AAAGCGCGCGUAGGUGGUUUGUUAAGUUGAAUGUGAAAUCCCCGGGCUCAACCUGGGAACUGCAUCCAAAACUGGCAAGCUAGAGUAGGGCAGAGGGUGGUGGAAUUUCCUGUGUAGCGGUGAAAUGCGUAGAUAUAGGAAGGAACACCAGUGGCGAAGGCGACCACCUGGGCUCAUACUGACACUGAGGUGCGAAAGCGUGGGGAGCAAACAGGAUUAGAUACCCUUGU